GUGGGGAAUAUUCCGCAAUGGACGAAAGUCUGACGGAGCAACGCCGCGUGAGUGAUGAAGGUUUUCGGACUGUAAAGCUCUGUUGUUUAGGACGAAAGUGCCUGUUGCAAAUAGUUACAGGUAUUGACGGUACUGAACGAGGAAGCCACGGCUAACUACGUGCCAGCAGCCGCGGUAAUACGUAGGGGGCGAGCGUUGCUCGGAUUGACUGGGCGUAAAGCGCGCGUAGGCGGUCCAUUAAGUGUGCGGUGAAAUUCGGAGGCUCAACCUCCGUCCCGCCGCGCAAACUGAUGGUCUUGAGAUUGGGAGGGGGAUGCGGAAUUCCUGGUGUAGCGGUGAAAUGCAUUGAUAUCAGGAGGAACACCGGCGGCGAAAGCGGCAUCCUGGCUUAUAUCUGACGCUGAGGCGCGAAAGCGUGGGUAGCAAACGGGAUUAGAAACCCUAGUAGUCC
rnacentral:rRNA from 1 species